UCCCGGGAAAAUAAGAAGCCGCUAAUUUUUUAGGUAAAGAAAGUGUUUUGAAGCUUGGGGAUGAGAAAUUUUGGCAUAAACUGAACAAGGAAACGUCGCGGGACAGAUGAAAAUGAAAUGGGUUUGCUCUUGACGGUAAAAUUCUGGUAGAGGAAGAGAACCGUAUGGCUUCAGCCAUGUUUUCUUGACAAGAAAAGGGUGAAGAAGAAAUGCAGGUGAUGAACUGAACAAAUAGGGAAGUUAGUUAAACCCCAGAAGCAGCCAAAAUUCGUUGUGAAGUGGAUCCAAAAGAUAUCUAGCUG
rnacentral:misc_RNA from 1 species